GUGGGGAAUAUUGCACAAUGGGCGAAAGCCUGAUGCAGCAACGCCGCGUGAGGGACGACGGCCUUCGGGUUGUAAACCUCUUUUAGUAGGGAAGAAGCGAAAGUGACGGUACCUGCAGAAAAAGCACCGGCUAACUACGUGCCAGCAGCCGCGGUAAUACGUAGGGUGCAAGCGUUAUCCGGAAUUAUUGGGCGUAAAGAGCUCGUAGGCGGUCUGUCGCGUCUGCUGUGAAAACUGGAGGCUCAACCUCCAGCCUGCAGUGGGUACGGGCAGACUAGAGUGCGGUAGGGGAGAUUGGAAUUCCUGGUGUAGCGGUGGAAUGCGCAGAUAUCAGGAGGAACACCGAUGGCGAAGGCAGAUCUCUGGGCCGUAACUGACGCUGAGGAGCGAAAGCGUGGGGAGCGAACAAGAUUAGAUACCCGUGUAGUCC
rnacentral:rRNA from 1 species